rnacentral:rRNA from 1 species
AGUGAACGCUGGCGGUAGGCCUAACACAUGCAAGUCGAACGGCAGCACAGUAAGAGCUUGCUCUUACGGGUGGCGAGUGGCGGACGGGUGAGGAAUACAUCGGAAUCUACUUUUUCGUGGGGGAUAACGUAGGGAAACUUACGCUAAUACCGCAUACGACCUACGGGUGAAAGCAGGGGAUCUUCGGACCUUGCGCGAUUGAAUGAGCCGAUGUCGGAUUAGCUAGUUGGCGGGGUAAAGGCCCACCAAGGCGACGAUCCGUAGCUGGUCUGAGAGGAUGAUCAGCCACACGGGAACUGAGACACGGUCCAGCCUCCUACGGGAGGCAGCAUUGGGGAAUAUUGGACAAUGGGCGCAAGCCUGAACCAGCCAUACCGCGUGGGUGAAGAAGGCCUUCGGGUUGUAAAGCCCUUUUGUUGGAAAAGAAAAGCAGCAGGUUAAUACCCCGCUGUUCGGACGGUACCCAAAGAAUAAGCACCGGCUAACUUCGU